rnacentral:rRNA from 1 species
UACAGAGGUCUCAAGCGUUGUUCGGAUUCAUUGGGCGUAAAGGGUGCGUAGGCGGAUUGUUAAGUCGGGGGGUGAAAUCCUGGAGCUCAACUCCAGAACUGCCUUCGAUACUGGCGAUCUUGAGUCCGGGAGAGGUGAGUGGAACUCCGAGUGUAGAGGUGAAAUUCGUAGAGUAUUCGGAAGAACACCAGUGGCGAAGGGCG